GAUGAACGCUGGCGGCGUGCCUAAUACAUGCAAGUCGAGCGAACGGACGAGAAGCUUGCUCCUCUGAUGUUAGCGCGGGACGGGUGAGUAACACGUGGAUAACCUACCUAUAAGACUGGGAUAACUUCGGGAAACCGGAGCUAAUACCGGAUAAUAUUUUGACCCGCAUGGUUCAAAAGUGAAAGACGGUCUUGCUGUCACUUAUAGAUGGCUCCGCCCUCAAUUAGCUAGUUGGUAAGGUAACGGCUUACCAAGGCAACGAUGCAAAGCCGACCUGAGAGGGUGAUCGGCCACACUGGAACUGAGACACGGUCCAGACUCCGACGGGAGGCAGCAGUAGGGAAUCUUCCGCAAUGGGCGAAAGCCGGACGGAGCAACGCCGCGUGAGUGAUGAAGGUCUUCGGAUCGUAAAACUCUGUUAUUAGGGAAGAACAAAUGUGUAAGUAACUGUGCACAUCUUGACGGUACCUAAUCAGAAAGCCACGGCUAACUACGUG
rnacentral:rRNA from 1 species